rnacentral:tRNA from 1 species
GCGCUGGCACGGCGGUGGUGAGGCCGAGAUCGUUGGCGGCGGUCAUGCCGUCCACCACGGCGCGCGCCUGGUCGCGUCGGGUGACGGCGCG